AGUGAACGCUGGCGGUAGGCCUAACACAUGCAAGUCGAACGGCAGCACAGUAAGAGCUUGCUCUUACGGGUGGCGAGUGGCGGACGGGUGAGGAAUACAUCGGAAUCUACUUUUUCGUGGGGGAUAACGUAGGGAAACUUACGCUAAUACCGCAUACGACCUACGGGUGAAAGCAGGGGAUCUUCGGACCUUGCGCGAUUGAAUGAGCCGAUGUCGGAUUAGCUAGUUGGCGGGGUAAAGGCCCACCAAGGCGACGAUCCGUAGCUGGUCUGAGAGGAUGAUCAGCCACACUGGAACUGAGACACGGUCCAGACUCCUACGGGAGGCAGCAGUGGGGAAUAAUGGACAAUGGGCGCAAGCCUGGUCCAGCCAUACCGCGUGGGUGAAGAAGGCCUUCGGGUUGUAAAGCCCUUUUGUUGGGAAAGAAAAGCAGCAGGUUAAUACCCCGCCGUUCUGACGGUACCCAAAGAAUAAGCACCGGCUAACUUCGUG
rnacentral:rRNA from 1 species